GCUGGGCACAGUGGCGCACGCCUAUAAUCUCAGCAGCUCGGGAGGCUGAGGCAGGAGGAUCGACAGUUCAAAGCCAGCCUCAGCAAAAGUGAGGCAUUAAGCGACAGUGAGACCCUGUCUCUA
rnacentral:sRNA from 1 species